GGAUGUGAGGGUGGUCUGACUGCGACAUCUGUCAUCCCACUGAUUGCCACGCUUGAUUUGGCUGAUCUGGCUGGCUAGGCGGGUGUCCCCUUCCUCUGUCACUGCUCCAUGCACAUCCCUCCCAAAGAGGAUGACCAUCCCAGAUAGAGGAGGACCGGUCUUCGGUCAAGGGUAUACGAGUAGCUGCGCUCCCCUGCUAGAACCUCCAAACAAGCUCUCAAGAAAUGUACUAAUUACCUUACAUAGGUAACUGUAACUCCUCUGUACAUCACCUUAACAAUAAAAUCAAAUU
rnacentral:snRNA from 1 species